rnacentral:rRNA from 1 species
ACGCUGGCGGCAGGCCUAACACAUGCAAGUCGAGCGGUAGAGAGAAGCUUGCUUCUCUUGAGAGCGGCGGACGGGUGGGUAAUGCCUAGGAAUCUGCCUGGUAGUGGGGGAUAACGUUCGGAAACGGACGCUAAUACCGCAUACGUCCUACGGGAGAAAGCAGGGGACCUUCGGGCCUUGCGCUAUCAGAUGAGCCUAGGUCGGAUUAGCUAGUUGGUGAGGUAAUGGCUCACCAAGGCGACGAUCCGUAACUGGUCUGAGAGGAUGAUCAGUCACACUGGAACUGAGACACGGUCCAGACUCCUACGGGAGGCAGCAGUGGGGAAUAUUGGACAAUGGGCGAAAGCCUGAUCCAGCCAUGCCGCGUGUGUGAAGAAGGUCUUCGGAUUGUAAAGCACUUUAAGUUGGGAGGAAGGGCAGUUACCUAAUACGUGAUUGUUUUGACGUUACCGACAGAAUAAGCGCCGGCUAACUCUGUGCCAGCAGCCGCGGUAAUACAGAGGGUGCAAGCGUUAAUCGGAAUUACUGGGCGUAAAGCGCGCGUAGGUGGUUUGUUAAGUUGGAUGUGAAAUCCCCGGGCUCAACCUGGGAACUGCAUUCAAAACUGACUGACUAGAGUGUGGUAGAGGGUGGUGGAAUUUCCUGUGUAGCGGUGAAAUGCGUAGAUAUAGGAAGGAACACCAGUGGCGAAGGCGACCACCUGGACCAACACUGACACUGAGGUGCGAAAGCGUGGGGAGCAAAC